CUUUUAGCUUGGAAUUCAUAGACUGUAGGGUAUAUAAGAAGUUGACAUAGUCACUGUAACGUCACCCAUUGGUUUGUGGACUGCCGUUUUGAAUCCUCGAGUUCGGCAUUUUGGCCGUUGCCAUCUUGGUUUUUGGUCAUCGCCA